UCAUUAAUUGGUUACCAGUGGACAAACUACAAUUUGUUAAAUUGGUUACCAGUGGACAAACUACAAUUUGUUAAAUUGGUUACCAGUGGACAAACUACUAUACUUUAGAGACGCGGUUCUGACAUACAAAUGUAUAAAUAACCUUGCUCCUGAUUACCUGUGCAAUAAGUUUAGAAAAAGGUCAUCAAUACAUAAACGUCAGACUUGCACACAGGACUCUCUGCAAAUCCUGGUAAAAUCCUCAUCAUCGUAACCUGACGAAUUGCAGUAUAUCUAUACAUCAGAUGGAACAAACCUUCUGGAAACUGAUAACCAAACUUUGUACAUACGACUAACUUGCAGCAAAAGACGAC